ACGUAGGGUGCGAGCGUUGUCCGGAAUUACUGGGCGUAAAGAGCUCGUAGGUGGUUUGUCGCGUUGUUCGUGAAAUCUCACGGCUUAACUGUGAGCGUGCGGGCGAUACGGGCAGACUUGAGUACUGCAGGGGAGACUGGAAUCCCUGGUGUAGCGGUGGAAUGCGCAGAUAUCAGGAGGAACACCGGUGGCGAAGGCGGGUCUCUGGGCAGUAACUGACGCUGAGGAGCGAAAGCGUGGGGAGCGAACAGGAUUAGAUACCCUGGUAGUCCACGCCGUAAACGGUGGGUACUAGGUGUGGGUUUCCUUCCUUGGGAUCCGUGCCGUAGCUAACGCAUUAAGUACCCCGCCUGGGGAGUACGGCCGCAAGGCUAAAACUCAAAGAAAUUGACGGGGGCCCGCACAAGCGGCGGAGCAUGUGGAUUAAUUCGAUGCAACGCGAAGAACCUUACCUGGGUUUGACAUGCACAGGACGCCGGCAGAGAUGUCGGUUCCCUUGUGGCCUGUGUGCAGGUGGUGCAUGGCUGUCGUCAGCUCGUGUCGUGAGAUGUUGGGUUAAGU
rnacentral:rRNA from 1 species